rnacentral:rRNA from 1 species
AGCAGUCGCCGCGGGAAUACGUAGGUGGCAAGCGUUGUCCGGAAUUAUUGGGCGUAAAGGGCUCGCAGGCGGUUUCUUAAGUCUGAUGUGAAAGCCCCCGGCUCAACCGGGGAGGGUCAUUGGAAACUGGGAAACUUGAGUGCAGAAGAGGAGAGUGGAAUUCCACGUGUAGCGGUGAAAUGCGUAGAGAUGUGGAGGAACACCAGUGGCGAAGGCGACUCUCUGGUCUGUAACUGACGCUGAGGAGCGAAAGCGUGGGGAGCGAACAGGAUUAGAUACCCCCGUAGUCCCUGUCUCUUAACA